rnacentral:rRNA from 1 species
GACGAACGCUGGCGGCGUGCUUAACACAUGCAAGUCGAACGGAAAGGCCCUGCUUUUGUGGGGUGCUCGAGUGGCGAACGGGUGAGUAACACGUGAGUAACCUGCCCUUGACUUUGGGAUAACUUCAGGAAACUGGGGCUAAUACCGGAUAGGAGCUCCUGCUGCAUGGUGGGGGUUGGAAAGUUUCGGCGGUUGGGGAUGGACUCGCGGCUUAUCAGCUUGUUGGUGGGGUAGGGGCUUACCAAGGCUUUGACGGGUAGCCGGCCUGAGAGGGUGACCGGCCACAUUGGGACUGAGAUACGGCCCAGACUCCUACGGGAGGCAGCAGUGGGGAAUAUUGCACAAUGGGCGGAAGCCUGAUGCAGCAACGCCGCGUGCGGGAUGACGGCCUUCGGGUUGUAAACCGCUUUCGCCUGUGACGAAGCGUGAGUGACGGUAAUGGGUAAAGAAGCACCGGCUAACUACGU